rnacentral:rRNA from 1 species
UACGUAGGGUGCGAGCGUUAAUCGGAAUUACUGGGCGUAAAGCGUGCGCAGGCGGUUUUGUAAGCCAGAUGUGAAAGCCCCGGGCUCAACCUGGGAACUGCAUUUGGGACUGCAAGGCUGGAGUACGGCAGAGGGAGGUGGAAUUCCACGUGUAGCAGUGAAAUGCGUAGAGAUGUGGAGGAACACCGAUGGCGAAGGCAGCCUCCUGGGCUAGUACUGACGCUCAGUG